rnacentral:rRNA from 1 species
AUUCCAGCUCCAAUAGCGUAUAUUAAUGUUGUUGCAGUUAAAAAGCUCGUAGUUGGAUUUCUGGAUUGAGCGGCUGGCCUUGCGCGCAAGCGUUCGUGUCGGCUUCGUUUCGGUCCAUCCUCAGGGGGACUUGCGCUGGCAUUAACGUGUCGGUGUUGGGACGCCUGUCGUUUACUGUGUACAAAUUAGAGUGUUCAAAGCAAGGUGUACUUGAAUACAUUAGCAUGGAAUAAUAAGAUAGGACUUUGGUGGUUCUUUUUGAUAUUUUGUUGGUUUGCACGCCAAAGUAAUGAUUAAUAGGAGCAGUUGGGGGUAUUCGUAUUCAAUUGUCAGAGGUGAAAUUCUUGGAUUUAUAGAAGACGAACUACUGCGUAAGCAUUUACCAAGGAUGUUUUCAUCG